rnacentral:rRNA from 1 species
AUUGAACGCUGGCGGCAUGCUUUACACAUGCAAGUCGAACGGUAACAGGCCUUCGGGCGCUGACGAGUGGCGAACGGGUGAGUAGUGCAUCGGAACGUGCCCAGUCGUGGGGGAUAACGCAGCGAAAGCUGUGCUAAUACCGCAUACGAUCUGUGGAUGAAAGCGGGGGACCUUCGGGCCUCGCGCGAUUGGAGCGGCCGAUGUCAGAUUAGGUAGUUGGUGGGGUAAAGGCUCACCAAGCCAACGAUCUGUAGCUGGUCUGAGAGGACGACCAGCCACACUGGGACUGAGACACGGCCCAGACUCCUACGGGAGGCAGCAGUGGGGAAUUUUGGACAAUGGGCGCAAGCCUGAUCCAGCAAUGCCGCGUGCAGGAAGAAGGCCUUCGGGUUGUAAACUGCUUUUGUACGGAACGAAACGGUCCUGGUUAAUACCUGGGGCUAAUGACGGUACCGUAAGAAUAAGCACCGGCUAACUACGUGCCAGCCGCCGCCGUAACAC